AUCAUUUCUGGACCUGGGGUGAUGGUACAGUAGCCUACCUCUCAAGCAGUAUCAAUGUGUUACACUGUAUUGUGCCUCCUCAUCCACUUCAAUAUAGCCUGAUGCGUCUCACAUUGAAUAGAUAAACUGUUAACUUUACACUGUCAUUGGAUCGCUUGUUGAAUCGCAUAUUCAUAACAUAUUAACACACUAAAAAGCAGUGUAUUCGGGGACCUUUCACUUUGCUCUGGGUUCUGUUGCUUGCUGUGUUUCCUCUGCCACUGAUGGAUAAUUGAAUGAUCCAACGGUCCAGUAGCAGCUAUUAAUACCACCUUAGUUCCAGCUUCUAUUUUAGGGUCGAAGCUGUUAGGGUAGGGGCUAGCAGCAGGGAACAGGGCAGGGUUCGGGGUCACAAGACACAGACACAAAACACUGGGACUGGACUCACUUCUGUGUGACGAGGCAGUAUUUCAACCUGGACUCUAUUCAGAAGGCUAAUACAGUUGUGGAUGAUUAUUCUGUUUGUGUGUAUCAUGGUCCUGCAUUCACCUCACCUUUUCCAUCAUUCGUCGUCGACGCGUAUUGGGAACUUAUUGAAAGCAGCUUUCUGUUCUUGUGGAGACACGUGAAUUCAGUAUCUUUCUCCUGUUUCAUCUUAACAGAAGGGGAAAUGGCAAAACCCCCUCCAUCCCCUAUCACUUCAGUAUCAUCCCCUACCACUCCAGUAUUCUUUACCCGGAUCAGUGACCGGGACCUAACUGAGAUCGAGCUACAUUCCGUGGAGUCCAUCAACGACCUACACCGAACCCACCCAGAAUACAACCACAAAGGCAGCAGACGACCUCCUCUUCCUCCUGCCCCCUCCACCAAUGGGAACCUCCAUCUCAGGGACAGUCAGACGGGGCAUCCAAUGACAAGUCGAUGGCAGAGGACGUUCCGAGACCUGUUGACGCCCACCUGGUUUCGAUACACCACGAUAGCGCUGAUGCUAUUGAUGCUACUUCUAAUCUUCUAUUUCUUAGGUAAAGCUAUUCCUUUGCUCUUUCUCAAUCCAACGGUGCCUGCAUGUUUUGCCUUGGUGUCCCUUUGUGUGACUGUGUUUCUGCGCCCCCCCCCCCCAGUGCAGCAGGGCAGCACUCUCCGGUCCCUGACUAAGGCAGUGAGGGAGAGACAGGCUGCAGCCCUAGAGAUCUCCCAACUCAUCCAGGAGCUGCAGGCGCUGCGCCAUAACCUCUCAGCCAUCACGGGAGGACUCUGAGGAGCAGAGGUCACUGAAAGGAACACCCUUAACCCACUGGCCCCCGAGGGACAAUGAGACUGUUCCACCAACAUCAAGUCAAAUCCCUUCCCUGCACAUGGUAUUGGACCUUGGGCCCAUCCAGAAACAACCCUUAGCCCCGACCCCCAUAUGAGCAGAGCCCAGGUGUUAUAAAACCCACCGAGAAUGUUUCCUUAUACUGGAUAUUUAUACGUUGGUUGAUUUGGUAGACAUAUAACACAAAGAAGAUACUCAUACAGUAUGAAUGGCAGGGUACUGAACACUUUAUAGCGUAUAUAGGAACCGCACUCUUGAACUGACAAUGAAUGUACUCACACAUCUGCACUGGGAUACAGACAUGGUCCAGGUUGGAGAUGCCCAUGUGAUCUAACUUCUAGAAGUGGUAUUCUUUUGCAUUUAUGCAUUUGACAGGAAAUGCACGAUGUAAUGUCACACCCAUUUUGUUACCUGAAACACUGUGCCAAUUUGGGAAAUUCUGUCUGACUAUCACAACUUCAGCAUGUCACGAGUGGAACGGAAUUGUAUUUAAUGAAUAAGCCGAGGAAGUGCCUUAGCAUGGCGAAUGCCACUGUUCUCAAUUUGAUACACUUGGUGGAAUUGCAAUGAUGCCACCGUACACCAACUAAAUAAACAAAAGAGGUAUUAUUAUAUAUUGGUGAUCGAGGCUAUCCUUUCCUGACACUCCUCACCCGCCCAGUCCUGAUAGCACUGGAACAGGAAGUUAGUGAGAAGGCGACUGAGGUCAUGGAAGGUCAGGAAGUUGGAGAAGGGGUCAGAAAGGAGGAUCAUGUGGUCAGAGUAUGGGUCCUGUCUGGCACAACAAUCGUUGCCAUGGCAUCGCUCUUCGCUGCACCCCUCUCUUCAGGGUGCUGAUGUACUCUCCCAGUUCAGAAUGAAUGUAGUCCCUCAGUAUCACACACUGACACUGCCGAGAGGGAGAGAGAGAUUCAUUCACAAAUACAAAAAGAUAAUCUAAUAGAAACUGAACUGCAUACACAGUCAAGGUAAUAAUGGCUGUAGAGGUAUGUAUGCGUACAAUAAAUGUACAUUAUAGUGUAUGUACAUGCACAGACUGAGGUCUCUAGGAUCUGAUCUUUGACUUAGCGAACCUCAGCUCCCCCCACAGCACUGCUCCUGCUUUCCCCAGUGCUGCACUCUCUCCCAGUGUGUGCUCCAGGUCCGUCUGCACGCACGCGCACACACACACACACACACACACACACACACACACACACACACACACACACACACACACACACACACACACACACACACACACCACAGGAGGUUGGUGGCACCUUAAUUGGGGAGAACAGGCUCGUGGUAAUGACUGGAGUGGAAUCCGUGGAAUGGUAUCAAACACAGGGUUUCCAGGUGUUUGAUGCCAUUUCAUUUGCUCUCUUCUGGCCAUUUCUAUGAGCUGUUCUCCCCUCAGCAGUCUCCACUGACAUACACACACACAUACUCUCUCUCACACACACACACACACAAAAAUGCAUACACACUGAAAUGGACAGAAUAUCUUUCCUGGCAUCUUCUGCCAGGUGUGCCCAUAUGUCACUGUCAACAUGCCCAGAUUAACGUAGGUUCAUAUCAUCCAUGAGAAUAGUACAUUCUGCCAGAUAUUAUAUCAAAGACGGUAUAAUAUUCAUAACAUAAGAGCAUCAGUGUCACGCCCUGACCUUAGAGAGCCUUUUUAUUCUCUAUUUUGGUUAGGUCGGGGUGUGACUAGGGUGGGUACUCUAGUUUUUAUAUUUCUAUGUUGGCCGGGUAUGGUUCCCAAUCAGAGGCAGCUGUCUAUCGUUGUCUCUGAUUGGGGAUCAUAUUUAGGCAGCCUUUUCCCACCUGUUAUUUGUGGGAUCUUGAUUUUUGUAUUGUUGCUUUUUAGCCCUACGAAGCUGUAUGUUUCGUUGGUUUUCUGUUUUGUUGCUGGUUCACCUUAAUAAAAGAUGAUGAACCCAAAC
ensembl:lncRNA